rnacentral:rRNA from 1 species
CGUCAAAUCAUCAUGCCCCUUAUGACCUGGGCUACACACGUGCUACAAUGGGCGGUACAAAGGGUCGCGAACCCGCGAGGGGGAGCCAAUCCCAAAAAAGCCGCUCUCAGUUCGGAUUGCAGGCUGCAACUCGCCUGCAUGAAGCCGGAAUCGCUAGUAAUCGCGGAUCAGCAUGCCGCGGUGAAUACGUUCCCGGGCCUU